rnacentral:misc_RNA from 1 species
AAGUCGUAACAAGGUAACCGUAGGUGAACCUGCGGUUGGAUCAUUAAAAAAUAUUUGGUCUUGUGCCAAAUUGACACCUGUGUGCACCAUUGUCUGUAUUUGGUAGCUCGAGUGUGCCCUGGGAGCUCAACACUCCCGUUCGGGGCGCCUACCCUUGUGGGUUCACAUCCUCCCCGGAGGCGAUGGGUCAUGGGCCGGCGGUUAACUCUGCUGGACCGCGCCGUCAGCUGAAAGUGAGGAUCUGCUCGGGUUGGGCUACCGCCAUUUUUUGCAAUAACCUUUUGUUUUGUUUUUACCAGCCUGAACGAAGAGUUAAUCUUUACUGAUUAAUGAUUUGAAAACAACUUUUGACAACGGAUCUCUUGGCUCUC